UGCGCAGGCGGGAGGAUAGGUCGGAUGUGAAAACCCUGGGCUUAACCCAGGGCCUGCAUCCGAAACCAUUCUUCUUGAGUAUCGGGGAGGGAAGCGGAACUCCAGGUGUAGGGGUGAAAUCCGUAGAUAUCUGGGGGAACACCGGUGGCGAAGGCGGCUUCCUGGACGAAUACUGACGCUCAGGCACGAAGGCUAGGGGAGCAAACA
rnacentral:rRNA from 1 species